GCUGGAAGAAGUUUGGAAGGGAUUUGGGGAGCAGCCGACGGCCGUAGGAGGUCGGCUGGCGGCAGAGCUUAGUGAGUGCUUGGGGCGGCUUGAUAGACGACUGGGGGAACUCAUGUUGAAGGAGUUUGGGGUGGUGCAGUGGGAGUUCGUCCGUCGGGGGAGUUCAGUCAACACCAUGGAAAUCUGACUGUUGGAGAAGUCCAGAGAGGUACCAUCUGCAGUCGAAAGCCGGAUGAGUCUCGGGAGGAUCAAUCCUGCUGAGAACUUCGACUGGGGGUAUUUUAUACCCAACAGUAUAUGAUACUAUUUC
rnacentral:lncRNA from 1 species